UGGAAAUGUGUGUGGGGAGGGGGAGGGGAGAGCAGAGGAAAGUGGUCCCCAUCUUUAAGAGUGGGGACAUGACCUGCCUCAGCAAGAUCCAUCUUCUGGGAUGGCCAGCCAUCCCAUGACGGUUCCCCGUUUCUUCCACUUUCUGCUGCUGUCUUCUAUCAGGAAUCAGAGGAACACCCAACACUUGAAAAUGGGCUUCUGCUGGCCGUUUUGCCAGCAUAAGAAGAUGGUCAAAAAAUGAGGGAAAUUUAUUAAGGUCAUUAAACAUGAAACAAUGAAUGUUUGACAGUGGAAUGUGCUGCUUUGUAUUCUCAUGGAGUCUCUUUCUCUGGAGAUUUUUAAACAGAGGUUUGAUGACCAUCUGUUGGGAGUGCUUUGACUGUGUGUUCUUGCAUGACAAGGUGUUGGACUGAAUGGCCCUUAGUCUUUUUCAGCUCUAAGAUCCUAUGAUUCUACAUAUAAUUAAAACAGUGGCUCAAGGCAGGAUACAUUUCAUGGCUCCAUAAAAAGUCCUAAAUGUUGCAAUACACUCCCAUUCAAUUAGCCUUGAAUCUUGCUAGGAUAGAUCUAUGGGAUCAGGGAGAUUUACAGACAAGUAGACUCUGUUUAACAGUAGAUUCAAUGGGUUACUUUAGUCAGGACUAAUAGGAUUCAGGUAGUUAUCUCUGAAUUUCUCAACAGCAUGUGGAUGGAGGAGAAUCAUGAUUAAUAUACCUGUUGCUUUUGCUUCUGAUUUUACUCCAUUGAGCCAUUCGUAUAUAGCUGUAUACAUAGGAGCCUGCUUUUUUUUUUUUUUUGAGAAAACCUUCCUAUGGACAAUGAGGGAAUGCCUCACUGCUAAAGGAGAACUAUGAUUGCUAUUAAAAUGUCAACUCCACAUUUACUAGCUUCUGUCGUUUCUUAAUGUUACAUUAGUAGAGUGCUUACUUUAUUAUCAUUGUAUAAAUUUACAAUAUACAAUUGUUUUAUAGAUACCUGAUAUCUGAUAUAUGGUGGAGAGAUGCAUUACAUUAAGUAUUUAUGUGCCUCAGUAUAAUGCACUAUAAAAAUGAAGGUGAAUAUGGUGUAAGGGGUAAAACGUAGGUGAAAAUAUUAUUGCUGGUCCCAUUUCAAUCUAAAUUCAUAUCCCACACACUAGCACAUAUUUAGCAUUAUGCAAUGCUUGCUAAAUAUCAACUAGUUAGUUAGUUAUUUGAAAUUUGCAUGUAUAUUCUACUUCAUAUUACAGUAAUUCUUUUCGUGAAUCCCCUGGGUAUAAAUGUGACCGCAUUCCUUGCUUAUCUGACACCCUGUUAUUCUAUAGUUCAGCCGUUUCAGCUCUCUGAUGUUACAAUAUUCCUAUAUCAGUCUCACCCCCAGUCUUAAACCUAGUGUGAGGUCUAGCAAAACCACCAACUUUGUUAUUUCCUUCAGAGUUUCAGCAUUUGGUUAAUGACCAUUCUUCCACAGCAAUUAGGACUCCCUGUGAAUCACAAAAGAGUCUCCCCAAGGACCCCAGAAACUUCUGCGAUAACAGAGGGAAAGAACAAAUGGCUCAACAGUUCCCAGCUUUUCCAAGUUUCUAAAUAUUUGACCACUCAGCUUUUAAACCCAGUUUCUAGUUCCCAUGUGGACUCACACAUGUCUUCGUAAAUUCUGACUUUCUAAAAAUUCUUCUAUAAACGCCAUUAGUGACAAAAGAAGUGGUGAUGAUGUAAUUCUCUAUAUUCUUGGUAAAUAAGCCAAAGGAAAACCAAGCAGAAGGAUUAGACUUACUGGAUUUUUGCCAAUGCAUAUGUGGUAGACUAUAUUGUUUUAACUUUCCACAUGAGUGCAACAAAACUUUACAUAGGCAGUGGUUCUGAAGUAUGAAAGAACUCUUUGAUGUAAUCAUAUGGAAAAAAACUUAUUACAAGUUAGAGGGAUAUAAAAAUACAACAUUGUAGAGUUAGGGAAGAGAUAAAUGGUCAAGGAGCAGUGGUGGCUAUGUUUGAUCAUCACUCAGACUAGGAUGAGUGAUGAUUAUCAGAAAAAGUGUAUGAGAAAAGGAUAAUUAGGAUAAGUACCAUUGAUUAUAAGAGGAUUCAGAAAGUUUUAUUUGGUUUGUUCUUAUUUUACAAUGUACAUCAGGCUUUGGUGGCUCUGCCUUUCUAGUGAACGGACUUUGAGUAUUUCACCACAAACUAAGAAGAGAAAAGUCUAAACAACGUAGUCAAGUGUCCAUGCACCUUCAUUCUCUUAAAAUGCAUGUUUGAUUGCCCUGUGAUGUGGCAUUUGCAGGCUCUGGUGUCCAGCCAACGAACCCUUUGUGUGUGUGUGUGUGUGUGUGUGUGUUCGUCACAGAUCUUAUGAACUUCUAUGAAACCAUAAUACUGGCAACAGCUGACCAAUUGGAAGCGGUUUUCAACAGGUACUUGGCUUUCUGUGCUAUUAAUUUGCUACAGGUUCACUUUCAGUGUGACAAAUCUAGCCUAGUUUUCCUGUUGUACUUGCUAAAUCUAGGUCAGAAAUAAAAGGUCUAAGUGUCUCUGAAAAGGGGGGGGGGAGCAGGUGGUGAUUUUUCAAGCAGUUAAUCGAAAUCCGGUUAAUUGUCUCUAUUGUGCUCUCAGGGAAGGAGCUGGGUAAAAUGAGAAGCAAACUACUUAAUAGUACCAGUGUGUAUAAAGCCAUUUCCUCUGCUGUUUGCCCUGACAUAAAGAAAGGGGGUGGCAGACCCUCUUACUGUUAGGAAGGCAACAGUGGUUUCAGCCAUUAGGUAGUUCUCUGGAUUGUAUAAAUGUACAGGACUGGAUUCAAUCCACUGUUUAGACAAUUGACUCUAAUGGAGUUAUUUUGUGUCAUAUGUACCUAUUUAACUGAACUCAGAAGCUGGUGGAAUAAUCUUUUGCUAUCUUUUUUUGCAAUUUAAGCUGUGCUUUAUUUAUCAGAGAGAGAACCUUCUUCAUACCCUGAAAUUCUCUUCUGUGACCGUGACUGGGGCGAAUAGAAAGAAAGAUACCUCCUGAGAUUUGCUGCUGUGUGAAUUCAAAGUCUUUCCAUGCUAAAGCUUCUGUUCCCAUGACCCAAUAGAAUGCAUUUAGGCCAAGUUAAUCCAGAUCAGGAUUCCCAGUGCUGUAGUUACAUAUUAUUCAAUUGAUCAGCUGCACCAGCUGGAUGCACACCACUGGCGAGGUCAAAAUGGCCUCCCUGACUUUGCAGCCUGCCACCAAUGAGCAGCUGCUAAGAAGAGCAGAAAAGAAACAGGUGUACAUAGGGGAGAUUUUUUAAAUCCCCUCAUCCUCUUUUUCCACCUCUAAAGUAUUUGAUCCUAAUCAUUGUGCACUACUCCCCAGGUAACUGUCCAUGAUUCUCAAGCACUGUCAGUGGAAUGUCACUCUGAAUUGAUGUUAGGAAGAGAUGGAAACACAACUAUGAUCAUCUGGAUGUCUCCAUCAAUAAACAGCUGAUCUAGGUGACUCCUGUGGUUCUGGUUAAAAUGCACUGUUUUCUGCAUAUAUUGUUUCCACAAAAAGGCUUGAAGAGAGACAGGACCUUUUCAGUGAUGACCCUCACCUGCGAAAUUAGAUCUUCUCCAUCCUGAUCUUCAGAAAAAAAGUAAAAAUGUGGCUAUGGGACUAAGCUUUUGGACAGUAAAUUGCAGUGCAAUAAAGAAAUACGGAAUAGUGCAAUGACAAUUGGAAUGGCUUUGGAUUACGAUUUUGGAGUAUGUGGUUUUUAAUUAGUUGGUUUCUGGUUUUAAUGUUGAGAUAUAUUUUAACUUGUUAGUUUUAAUGCAAUUGUUUAUUUUAUUCAAUGUAUGUUAUUUGGCAUGAAAUGACUGCCUUUUUCUAACACCAUUCUGAGUCUCCUGCAGGGUGAGAAAGGCGGGAUAUAAAUAUGGUAAAUAAAUAAAUAAGAUUGACUUUUUUCAAAUGUAAUGUCUUGAUGUCUUAAAAAACCUCUAUUUUCCAGGGACAAUACAUGUGUGAGUAUUUGUCCUAAAAUCCUAGUGGCCAAUCCUAAAGGGAAAUAGAUUAUGCAACAAAACAUGCUUAAAAUGACCUCUUUUAAAUCUGCAAGCAACUUUCAGUGUGGGGAAGCUUUAAAUGCUAAGUGGUACCUUGCUGCUUUUUCUGUUGAAUCAAGCCCAUGAUAUGGGUUAUAUCAAACAGAUCUUCCCAUAUCUUCAGGAAACCCUGAACAAAAAGUUUAAAAGACUGGCUUAUUGAUAGACUUCAGAAAGCAACUGUAUGUUUCAUUGGCAAAUAUAUGCCAACAAUACUUUUGAGAACAAUAUGUAAGGAAAUAUCCAAUGCAUUUUCUCUGACUGUAGGUAGACAGUGUUUCAGAAUAAGGGCAUUAUUACAGGAAGCACUAUAAUGGGUUUGGUGCUAAAAACCUGUCUAGGUAUGAACUGGAAUAUGCCAGGAUAGGUAGCCUUCUUAUCGCCCCAAUCCAUUCUUCAAGGGAUUGAAGACACUCGCAAGCAUUUUAGCUUACCAUAACUGCUGGGACUUGGCUCCUCAGAAUGUAUUGCUUUUGCUCAUCCAUGCCCUCCUUUCCCCCCAGUGAGUAUUCAGAAGUUUCUUAGUAUGCAGCUUGCUUACUCCUGCAUAAAUCCAGUAUGCCACAUAUCAAGCAUAAGUUUUCCAUUGAUGCUUUCAAUGUGUGAGUAAUCUCUGUGUGUGAAAACAUUGCUAUUCAUAUUCACAUAUGCUGAUAUUUGUGCUUUAAAAUCCAGGAACUCAUUGUCUAGACACUGAGAGUCUAAUUCUUCACGUCUUUUCAGGAAUAAGCCCCACCAAAUUCUGUGAGUUUACUCCUAGCUAACUGACCAUAUGAUCACAGUUUAAAUUAUCAAUAUUGUCAUUAGGAUGCUUAAGGGUUUUCUUCACACCUCACUUAUAAUCAGAUAAAAUUACCAUUAUUAUUCUUUUCACUUCACCAAAUUUUAAAACACUAUUCUGGGCUGAAAAUAUACCAAAAUGCAUGAGCCAAAAUGUAUACAAACAUGUGUGCUACUAAGUUAAAAUUUUGUCAAAAUGGCAUAGCAUGAAGACAUUUAGGAAUGUAAAUUUGUCUAUGCAUAUGUAUACUAUGUAUGUUUCAGAUUAAUAUAAAAACAUAAUAAAACAGAUAUGAAUGACUUCAUGUGAAUGUACUGUUCAGAAUGAUCAGAAUGAUGCCUAGCUAAUAAAUGAUUUUAUUAAUACAGUUAGUACUACAUCUGUUUUAAUCAGGCACAAUUAAAAAUAUCACACAACAAAUGUAGGUACUUGCAAUACACCCCUCUUUUGUUUACUUUGCUAUCUAUAUGAUUAGGAAGAAAAAAUGAAUUCAAUAAAUAUACAUUUGAAAUUGUUGUAUUUUAUCUAUUUCAGCAUUAUUUAACAAUUAUUACAGGAAGAAUGAUACCUUGGAAAGAUCUUUGACAACAAAAUGUUGAAAGAAAAGAAUUCAAAGAGAACUCUGUGUGAAAAUUGUGUUUCUCAGCAGUUUCUCAGUACCUAGCAUGUAGCAAAAAAAUUCUUAUGGUUGAAUGGUUAUGGCAUGUGAGAUGGGUCUACUAAGGGAAUGGUGCAUGUGUGCAUGUGCAUGUAUGUGUGUGUGUGAUGCAAAGAGAGAAGGAUGUAAAGAAUACAAAAUAGUCAAUAUACUAAUAACAAUGAAAAAGAAUAUUAAGAGCAUUACAAUCCCCAGCAAACAAGAAAAUAGACCUAUUAUACAGCAUUAAAUCUUAGACCCAGCACAACCACCCUAUAUUAUCAUCUCUUUAUUGACAAAUAAUUCAAACAAACAACAUUUAUGUCAUAAAGCGUAAACCACCCCAAGCACUUAAAGAUCAAUGUAUGCUAUUUGUUUUUAAGUUCAGCUUUCUUUUGCAAUUCUUUUUGGUCCAUCUUCUCUCAAACAAACAUGGCUGUUCAUUGUCCCAAUUAACAAACAUGCCCUAGGAUAUCUUUUAAAAGUCCAUUUUAUCUAGGAUCUAGAGAUCUUUCAUGAAGCACACAGAUGUCCAUAUAGGCGGGCGGAAAGAAGGAGUAUGUGAGAGUAGCAUUUCAAUAAAAUCCUCAUAGACUUUGUUAUUUUACAUAUGUCAAAGUAGGUCCUUAUUCAGCUGUCAAUCUGCUCGCUAUAUUUAACAAUUAGUUUAAUACACUGGCUCCUUGAGGACAAAAGGCAGAGGGGCUGACAAUUUUCUGUAUGGUUGGUAGAUCAUUCAUAGCCUCGGGCUAAUGAGUGGUCGUUUAUUUCUUUGACCUCUUCCUGAAAUGCCAGUAAUAGUGUUUGAAGUGAGGUUCUGGGGUUGCCAUCAUCCAUCCCUGAUUUCAUAUUUCUAAUUAGACCAAAUGUAUUCCAAUCAAAAAUGAAGGAAAUAUGAAAAUGUUCUGGUCAGAGGAGAGUGGUUAUAGUUCUGUUCACCAAAGACAAGAACUGAAAUAAUACAAGUACAAGUAAUGAUAGUGACAAUAGAAAUGAAAUUCUACUUUCAAAGAAAAUCCCAGAAGGCUGCAACUCCUGAUCUAUCUAUCCAUCUCGUUAUUUUGCUGAAAGGGAUAAUGAGAAAGUAAGCAAAGCUCUGUUAUAACAUGAAGGAUAUUUGAAAAACCUGUGCAAAAUUGCAUUGAUGCUGUAUUGCUAAUAUGCUUACUGAGGUCAGGAAUGAACUAAAAUGCUAUCAGACAUCCCUUCAAAGAUAACCCUUUAUUUAUUUAUUUAUUUAUUUAUUUAUUUACUCACAUAGAAACAAAUGCUACUAGGCCAUCAAGGCAGUUCACAAUGACUAAAAUACAAAAUCACAUAGGUAACAUUUCGAUCCAAAUCAAUAUACUUUAUUAGUAGUUGCGGGAGAAAAUGUAAAUAAAAAUAAAGGUUUACAAAAUACAAGGAAAAUGUUUCCAUGGCUCACCAAAAUCCAUUAGAGAGAAAAUUAAUCAGGACUCUCAAGGAAGACAUUUCCUCAAUCUGUAAGACAUUUUUACAGCAAAUCACAAAAAAGCCCUUGCUUUAGUGGACCACAUUUGUGAUCUUGUGAAUGUGUAAGAUACAAAAACAUUCUGAACAAGCACAAUGCAAAGUGAUCUUGUAGCAUAUUUGAGACUGAGAAAAAGAAAUAGUAGCAUAAAUGUUCAUAGACAAUGACUUUUGAGGUUUAUGCUUCCAUUUCUUUCUCUCUGUUUGUCUCAAAGCUGCUACAAGAUCCUACUGCAUACAAAUAUUACAGAUUAAUACAGCUAUAUGUUUGAAUCCUAAACUAACAUGAAUUAUACAUAUGCCAUAAGUAGGUGUUCUAGGCACAUCUGAAUUGGAUAUACAUCUUGGCAGCCCUAUGAAACCAUCAUAGGUUUGUUACCAACCAGACAUGUUAGCCCACAGUUCCCAUUUUUCCCCAACCAGAAUGGCUUUGUAGUCCAACUCAUAUGCAGGGUUCCACAUUUUCUAAUUCUUGUCUAGUAAUAAUGUGUUGGGUCUAGUUUUCUGUAUAGCUUUCCUUUUUUCAGUACAGCAAAGAUGAGAAACCAAAAUGGUAAUAAAAUAUCAACUCAUUAGCAAGGGAAAAGUAACUUCCAUUUUGAUCAAAGCUACCUAUUUCCUAUGAAUUUCUCAAGAAAUCCCUGUACCAAAAGUUUUGGGGAAACGUCUAAAACCUAUCCAUUGUAGUUCAAAUAAAAGAAUUUUACCAUUGCUGUAAGUAAAAGCCUUACGGAAGUAAGUACCAGUCUAUUUGUUCACACCUGUCAAUUUACCCUGCUGUAGCAAAAUUCAAAUUCAGGGCUAGCCAUGCUGGCCAUACAGUAAAAUGCAACAAAAUACAAACUCUACAAAAGAAUAUUACUUUUAUUGGGCAACCAAAAUGCAGAAAAUAUAUAAUGCAAGCUUCUCUUUGAAGAAUAGAAGAGUGAUGAUCUUAGAGUCACGGAUCUACAGUUUGUCUCCGAUUUUACUUUGUUGUCAGUUAAGAUAGGAGUUCAAUGAAGGUAGAAGUGGAGUUCUCUUCCUGGUAUAAUCUCCCUGGCAGACCUAGAAAUUGCUAGAGAAACCAUUUAUUCUCAGACAUAGGUAAAUGAAAUUAUGGGUUCCACAGUUACAGCAAUAUCAUUGUACUAUAUUAUUUUAUUUAUAUUCUCCCCUUUCUCCCAAAACUGAGACUCAGUCAUCAUCUACAAUUCAAUCUUCUUAUAAUUGACAUUAAGGUUGCAAUCACUGGAAGUAUUUGAGGUGAGAAGACCAUCCAGCAGUGAAGUUUUAGCUGUGGAUUCCUGCAUAGUCAAGGAGUUAGACUACAUAACCCUGGGGGUCCACUGCAGUUGUGCAUUUCUAUGCUUUCAGACUUUCAGGAUGCAUAGAGGCAUCAAACCUCUGAAUACAAGUUUCUGAGAAUUAUUAGUAGGACUGAUCCAGGUUCUUUUUAUGAAUUCUUCAUAUGCAUGUAACCACCAGUUUAUGCAUGAAUAGAAUGCUUCAUUAGAUAGUAUUAAGGUCCGAUCUAGCAGAGCUUGUCGUAUGUUCCUGUGUUUAUAAUUGUCUGGGUGGGCGUUUUCCUUCAACAUUGGCAAUUUAAUUCUUGUUAACAGCUUUUAGUCCAGUGGGAGACUAGAUCAUGGAUCCCAGUUUAGAACUGUGAAUUUGAAGAAUUUCUGGAAGAGAAAUAUACUCUUAUUGCCCUUGGGCCAAUUGGAAAAUAUAAUGUUUUAAUCAAGUUUCUAAAACCAUUUGUGAGGCCCUGACCUCAAAGGAAAGCCCUGGAAAUAAUUUACUGUAGAUACUUCAACAGAACUUUCAAGCAAGCGAGCAGGUCUGAAACCAGAUGUCUUUCUACAAAAGAGAUAAUAUACAGAGAAAAUUAAACACUGAAGCUGAGAAUUUUCAAAAGGUACAAAUAAUAUGUCCCCAGAGAAUUAGAAUGCUCUGGAUAGUGCACAGAUGUAGAUGUAAUAACACUGAAGAUCUCUUGGAUGUACAGUGUGUGAAUUUUUACAGAUGUUUUAAUUAACACAAGAAUCUAAGAAAAUAAAACCAGUGCUGGAAUAGACCACUGUGGUCAGCCUGAUACUUCUGAGACCCCACAAGAAAUUACUUGUCUGCCCCUACUGUUGUCCCCACCCAGCAACUGAUACUCAAAAAUACAGCACCUCCAAUGGUGUAGAUUCUAUUUUACGAAUCUACACCAUCACAAGAGCUGCUCUAGUUCCCACACAUUUCUGGUGAUCCCUUUAUUCUAUUUUUAUGUUCUGAAAAUAUCAUUUGACAAUGGUUAUUUUGUUGUAAAGAGUCAGAAAGUUCAUAGUAUUGCAUUCUUUUGCUUGUCAUAUUGAAGAGUUCAUUUAGUGUGAACUUUUUCCGAAAAGCAGAAUUUGAAAUAUUACUUUUUGGUUCACAAUUCCCAGAAUCACUACAGCAAUUCCUCAUGCUAGUUGCAAGAUUUUGGGAGCUGAAAUCUAAAGAAAGCUUAACAAGUAUUUUUUUUCCAAGCUCUCCCAACAUUAAAAGAGAAUGGAUAAUAUGGCUUGGUAUUUGCCCCUAUCUUGAUUCCUUAAAAGGCCUCAAUUUUGGAUGGAAGAGCCUAUGGAUGAAAGCUUAUCCCAGGUUUUAUUACUGUGAAGAGCUAAUACACUUAAUAAAAAUAAUCUCAAGAUGACCCACCCCUUGGCCAUGUGCACAGGGCUGCAGUAAUGACAUCUUUGAUGCUCCUGAAGACAAUCCUAUGCUGCAGAAUGAGAUCUUUUCUCACUGGCAAAUUGGGCGAGCUCAUUUCUACAGCACUGUGAAAUACCUUAAAAGGCCUUCUUCUGCAUACUGUGUUUAUCAUAAAGAUGUCACCGUCGUGAUGCUUGGCAACCAGUACAAUUUUCUGGAGGUGUUUGCAUACAUUUUCCUGAGGGAGAGAUCCGCUCGGUCCCUGCUUGGGAGAGCUGUCAGUGUAUUCUGAUGUAUGAGGGAUAAAAGGAACCCCCACUGCAGAUGCCAAUAAGCUGGAGUCACAGGCCUGAAAGCAAUGACUUGGGCAUCACUAUCCAGAGUUAGGAAAUGUGUCAAUUAUCAGAUGGACUGCCUAAGGGGAUCGCCUGGGUCUAGGUCAUAAAACCAUCAGGACUUGGGGGCGGGGAGAAUUGAUGAGGAAGCAAGUUGAAUUAAUUGAUAACAAGCAGGAUUCUGUGUGAAAUAUUUCAUAUAAGCAGCAAUUCAAUAUCUUUUCUCUCUCCCUACCCCCCUUGCGAAGGUUUUAUUUUGACAUGCAUUAAAAAAAUAAUCCAAUGCAAAGCAGAAUACUCCUUCUUAUCACCCCCCUCCCCUCACAUCCAUUCUCACCCAAGAUACAAGCGAUUCUGUGACACACGUGCGUCAUUUCCUCAAAAUUGGUUGUCGGGCAAACCGGGGAAAGAAGCCUCCUUGCAAAUGAAAUCAUGCUAAUAUUUUACAGCUAUUUGCCCGUUAUUGCAGUUUUUAAUAUACUGUGCAACUGUUUGUUUGUGCAAAUGCAGCAGGGACCACUUAAACGUAUCGCCUCAGGCCUGAUUCAUAAAAGCUUUAUAUGCCAUUUAUGUAGGUUUCUGUGGAGUUUACUCAGAAAAUGGAAGGAAAACAUAUUUUCAUUGUUAAGUGUGUCCCCGUGUUUUCUCUUGGUUGUAUAUAUACAGAUUCCACACUCACCCUAGCAGAAAUGCAAAAGCUGUCAAGGCAGCUUUCAUUAAAAUAGUAUAGAUAAUAAUAGAAAUAAUGCAUUUUAUUAUUAGAGAGGGAAUGUUGCUUCGCUAACAGUGACACUGGAUGAAAAUGUCGGGCUACAGGAAACUCAGUAGGUAUUAGUUUUGUGUAAACCAAUGGAUGAUGGCACUAUAAAACAUGUAAAAAACGUAAUUAUAAAUACUGUUCAGAAUUCCGUAAUAUGAUCAGCUGGUAGAUUUUCAUUAAUAAAUUGUUUCCAGUGUUCAUUUAAUAAAAUAUUUGUCUCAAUA